UAGAAUACCAAAAAUAAAUCUAAUUCUAACUAAAUCACGUUAAAAAAAAAGAGAUGUAGAAUUCGAAAAUCUACUCCCUAAUCCCACGUUGAAACCGCUCCCAUCUAUCCCACAAAUCUCUCAAACUUCUCAACCAAAUCUUCCUCCUCUAAAUUCCUACUCCUCUAUAAUAUUGCUGCCUUAUUUUCGUUCCUCUCAUCCUUGCAGCAAACAGAGGAAUUCUUCAAAACUUCUACUCAAGUAAUCAAAAUUCUCCAGCUUCAAGAACCAAUCUUUUCAGAUCCUUGUUGUUGUGAUUUCUCAAUUCACGGAGGUGAUAUCUCGCAAGGGAAUCGUGAACGCAAAGGAAAGAAAAUAGUUUCGGAUUAAGCAAUCGAGAUGGCUGGAUCAUAUUUUGCCCAGAUGCGUAAUAGAUACACCAAAAAUAGAAAUUUCCCCGUGGAGAGAUAUAGGGAUUAUGAAUGGGAUGGAAGGACUGACCUCAUGAGUUACGUCACUGAAUUUUGGAAUCUUUGGAUGGACGCCUAUGCGUUCGGGGGAGCCACCCACCAUGCUGGAAUCACAAA